GCCUGGCUAGCUCAGUAGGUAGAGCAUGAGACUUAGUCUCAGGGUUGUGGGUUCGUGCCCCAUGUUGGACA
rnacentral:tRNA from 2 species